CUUCUAGUGUUCUACGAAUGUCAUUGCUUUUGAAUAGUUGAAAAUUUGUAUAAUUUUUUUACGUGUUAGAAAUUAGAGGAAAAUAAUUCACUCAACCUGACUCAUCUCCCAUGACAGUGGAUAUUUGAAUCUGAUAAUUUCAUCAGUGGUAAAAAUAAAACUAAAAAGCUUUUAAACUUAUUUGGGGCUCACUCAGGGGAUACUAAAAUAAUUCAAAUUAGAUCAUUUUUAUGCAAAGAAGGGAUUAAUUAGAGAAAUGAAAUUGCCAGUUCAGCCUAUGCUACCUUUUCACUAACACAUGUAAAAUCCUGAUCAAUGGAGAGGAUGUUUUAAAGCCUGAAGAAACUUACCAUAAAUCAGAAUGGCUAACCCAUUUCUCAUUAUUAGUUAAUCCCUUUUAUCCUUUAAAUGCUUACUGUUUUUUAAAGUCUUUUCAUAUAAGGAAGCAAUCCAGGAUUUGGCUGAGAGCCACUGGCUCAUGCCUGCUAUCCAAGAUACAUAGAAGGCUGAGGUCUGGAAGGUUGGGGUUCAAAGCCAUCCUGGGUAGAAAAAGCCCACAAGACCCAAGCAACAAGCUAAAGCUAUUUCUCAAGUGGUAUAUCACCAGCCAAGUAAGCAAGUCAAGGUAGUGCAAGACUACUGAAUCCAAGCUACUAUAGUAUCAGAUAAAGGAAAAGUCUCAGUUUCUAAAAGCAUCCAUGGCUAUACUGCUAGACAUAGAACUUUGGUAGAGCCUUGAUUUGAAACUCCUUAGCAGGGAAAUCUUCCUAGUCUACCACAAAUGUGGCCAAGAUAUGUUUUUUUUAUUUUUAAAUUUUGAGGAAUGAUUUUGUUAUUUCAUAUAGCUAAAUAGAGAAAUAGGGGGCUUUACAUUCCUUUUUGAAGACCUUCAAUUUUACAUGAUAGUAUAUGAUUUGAUGUAUAAUUAUCAGGGUAAAAUGGUUGGGUGUUUGUAAAGUGGUUGUAUAGAUUGGAUAUGUUGAAAUCAACACUGAACACUAGGUGGCACUCCUCUACCAUUGGAUAUAUUAUCUCAGGAAACUAUGAUAGGCCCGACUUUUUUUUUUUUUUUUUUUUUUUUCGGUAGGUCCAUGUCAACAGAACCUUCUCUGUUUUCUUAUAUCAAGUGUCUGUUUAAGAUCUGGCUACAUUUUAAUUUGAAAAUAACAGGUGCAUAGGUUCUGCAUUUUGAAUUAAUCCAUUCAGUAAGUAUUCAGUGACAUCUCUUAUAUGCCAUAUGGAUACCUAGUCCUUUUUGUUAUACUCUUGAAUAAAACCGACAUUUUAUUAGGAGAAAAGUUCAGUAAAAAUAAGCAUGUUAAAUAUGAUGUGCAUGAUGUUUAAGGUUAUUUAAUGCCACCUAGAAAAAUGAGUAGGAUAAUGAGGGUAAUGAAUAUUGGGAGCACUGACAACGGUGGUGAAUACAAUUUAAAGGGAGAUUGCCAAGGUCAGUCUUGUAUAGAAGUUGAUGAUGAUAGAACAGAGCUUUGAAGGUGAAAAUGGAUGACCUAUACAUAUAUUGGAAGAAAGUAGGACAGCCAGUGGAAAGGCUCUUAGGUGGUAGCAUGCCAUGUAUUCAAGUCAUUGCCUGGAUAGGACAAUAUAAGCAAGAGUGAUAGUUCCAUCAGACAGAUAAUUGGAUACUAUUAGAUCUCAAAGAACUUUGUGGGUCAUAAAAGAGGGUUGACAUUACCUUCACAGAAAUAUGAGGUCAGAGUCUGCAAAUUUUAAGCAUAAAGAAGUCACUCACUUACUA